rnacentral:lncRNA from 1 species
GAAAGCAUUUUAAUAAUUAUUGACAAUAAGGCUCAUACAAAGACUUGUCACUUGUGUUUGCUCUAAUACAACGCUGAAAAGUGUGAACCACAAAAUAAAAACUUAAACUCUUAAAGAGGAGACAUUUCUUUGGGAUGGUGAUUCCUAUUGUUUCUUGUUCCUUUACAAUUUCUUUUCUAAACUGAUUUAUCUUGAGUCGGGGGUCGAUCGGAAACAGCUUCUCUAUCUCACCUCUGAGGUAGUGGUAUGGACUGCGUAUACUUACCCUUCCCAUACCCUACUUGGUGGGAAUAUACUGGGUAUGUUGUUGUUGUUUGUAAAGAGGGACAUUU